rnacentral:rRNA from 1 species
GGUUAAGCGACUAAGCGUACACGGUGGAUGCCCUGGCAGUCAGAGGCGAUGAAGGACGUGCUAAUCUGCGAAAAGCGCCGGCGAGGUGAUAUGAACCCUUGACCCGGCGAUGUCCGAAUGGGGAAACCCAGUGCAAUCCGUUGCACUAUCGUUAACUGAAUACAUAGGUUAACGAGGCGAACCGGGGGAACUGAAACAUCUAAGUACCCCGAGGAAAAGAAAUCAACCGAGAUUCCCCCAGUAGCGGCGAGCGAACGGGGAGCAGCCCGGAGUCUGAAUCAGCUUGUGUGUUAGUGGAACGGUCUGGAAAGUCCGACGGUACAGGGUGAUAGUCCCGUACACGAAAGCACACUUGCUGUGAACUCGAAGAGUAGGGCGGGACACGUGGUAUCCUGUCUGAAUAUGGGGGGACCAUCCUCCAAGGCUAAAUACUCCUGACUGACCGAUAGUGAACCAGUACCGUGAGGGAAAGGCGAAAAGAACCCCGGCGAGGGGAGUGAAAAAGAACCUGAAACCGUGUACGUACAAGCAGUGGGAGCCUCUUUAUGGGGUGACUGCGUACCUUUUGUAUAAUGGGUCAGCGACUUAUAUUCUGUAGCAAGGUUAACCGUAUAGGGGAGCCGCAGGGAAACCGAGUCUUAACUGGGCGUUAAGUUGCAGGGUAUAGACCCGAAACCCGGUGAUCUAGCCAUGGGCAGGUUGAAGGUUGGGUAACACUAACUGGAGGACCGAACCGACUAAUGUUGAAAAAUUAGCGGAUGACUUGUGGCUGGGGGUGAAAGGCCAAUCAAACCGGGAGAUAGCUGGUUCUCCCCGAAAGCUAUUUAGGUAGCGCCUCGUGAACUCAUCUUCGGGGGUAGAGCACUGUUUCGGCUAGGGGGUCAUCCCGACUUACCAACCCGAUGCAAACUACGAAUACCGAAGAAUGUUAUCACGGGAGACACACGGCGGGUGCUAACGUCCGUCGUGAAGAGGGAAACAACCCAGACCGCCAGCUAAGGUCCCAAAGUCAUGGUUAAGUGGGAAACGAUGUGGGAAGGCACAGACAGCCAGGAUGUUGGCUUAGAAGCAGCCAUCAUUUAAAGAAAGCGUAAUAGCUCACUGGUCGAGUCGGCCUGCGCGGAAGAUGUAACGGGGCUAAACCAUGCACCGAAGCUGCGGCAGCGACACUAUGUGUUGUUGGGUAGGGGAGCGUUCUGUAAGCCGUUGAAGGUGUGCUGUGAGGCAUGCUGGAGGUAUCAGAAGUGCGAAUGCUGACAUAAGUAACGAUAAAGCGGGUGAAAAGCCCGCUCGCCGGAAGACCAAGGGUUCCUGUCCAACGUUAAUCGGGGCAGGGUGAGUCGACCCCUAAGGCGAGGCCGAAAGGCGUAGUCGAUGGGAAACAGGUUAAUAUUCCUGUACUUGGUGUUACUGCGAAGGGGGGACGGAGAAGGCUAUGUCAGCCGGGCGACGGUUGUCCCGGUUUAAGCAUGUAGGCGGAGGUUCCAGGUAAAUCCGGUACCUUAUUAACGCUGAGGUGUGAUGACGAGGCACUACGGUGCUGAAGUGAUAAAUGCCCUGCUUCCAGGAAAAGCCUCUAAGCAUCAGGUAACACGAAAUCGUACCCCAAACCGACACAGGUGGUCAGGUAGAGAAUACCAAGGCGCUUGAGAGAACUCGGGUGAAGGAACUAGGCAAAAUGGUGCCGUAACUUCGGGAGAAGGCACGCUGAUGUGUAGGUGAAGCCCCUGCGGGCGGAGCUGAAAUCAGUCGAAGAUACCAGCUGGCUGCAACUGUUUAUUAAAAACACAGCACUGUGCAAACACGAAAGUGGACGUAUACGGUGUGACGCCUGCCCGGUGCCGGAAGGUUAAUUGAUGGGGUUAUCCGUAAGGAGAAGCUCUUGAUCGAAGCCCCGGUAAACGGCGGCCGUAACUAUAACGGUCCUAAGGUAGCGAAAUUCCUUGUCGGGUAAGUUCCGACCUGCACGAAUGGCGUAAUGAUGGCCAGGCUGUCUCCACCCGAGACUCAGUGAAAUUGAACUCGCUGUGAAGAUGCAGUGUACCCGCGGCAAGACGGAAAGACCCCGUGAACCUUUACUAUAGCUUGACACUGAACAUUGAGCCUUGAUGUGUAGGAUAGGUGGGAGGCUUUGAAGCGUGGACGCCAGUCUGCGUGGAGCCAACCUUGAAAUACCACCCUUUAAUGUUUGAUGUUCUAACGUUGGCCCCUGACCGGGGUUGCGGACAGUGUCUGGUGGGUAGUUUGACUGGGGCGGUCUCCUCCCAAAGCGUAACGGAGGAGCACGAAGGUUAGCUAAUCCUGGUCGGACAUCAGGAGGUUAGUGCAAUGGCAUAAGCUAGCUUGACUGCGAGCGUGACGGCGCGAGCAGGUGCGAAAGCAGGUCAUAGUGAUCCGGUGGUUCUGAAUGGAAGGGCCAUCGCUCAACGGAUAAAAGGUACUCCGGGGAUAACAGGCUGAUACCGCCCAAGAGUUCAUAUCGACGGCGGUGUUUGGCACCUCGAUGUCGGCUCAUCACAUCCUGGGGCUGAAGUAGGUCCCAAGGGUAUGGCUGUUCGCCAUUUAAAGUGGUACGCGAGCUGGGUUUAGAACGUCGUGAGACAGUUCGGUCCCUAUCUGCCGUGGGCGCUGGAGAAUUGAGGGGGGCUGCUCCUAGUACGAGAGGACCGGAGUGGACGCAUCACUGGUGUUCGGGUUGUCAUGCCAAUGGCACUGCCCGGUAGCUAAAUGCGGAAGAGAUAAGUGCUGAAAGCAUCUAAGCACGAAACUUGCCCCGAGAUGAGUUCUCCCUGAGACCUUGAGUCUCCUGAAGGAACGUUAAAGACGAUGACGUUGAUAGGUCGGGUGUGUAAGCGCAGCGAUGCGUUGAGCUAACCGAUACUAAUGAACCGUGAGGCUUAACCUU